UGUCCUGUGGUGUAAUUGGCAACACGUCUGAUUCUGGAUCAGAAGAGUUUAGGUUCGAGACCUAACAGGACAA
rnacentral:tRNA from 3 species